CUUCCUGUUUGCUGGUGAUGGCAACAGACAAAACAAUAAACUCGACUUCAUUGUGACUACUUACACGAUUUAAGAACAAGAUGGCCGAAUCACCGAACUCGAGGCUUUAAAACUGCUGUUGGAUGUUGGAGAAACAUAUUUAUGUUUAUUGCCAACAAUCAUCAUUAAAAGACAAAACCAACUUCCAAAAACCAACCAGCCCUCAGUACCAAAAAUAAAUGCUCUAUCUGCCCUUCAUCUGGGCAACUUAAGUUGUUUUAUUCCUGAGCAUGUGAGCUUGUAGAAGAGCAAAGUGGACAUGGAGGAUUGUGAGUCUGUUUGCACGUAGUCCACCACAUCGCACCACAUCUGGUGGACCAGAUGUGUGGCAGUUUGCUAGAAGCACAAACACUGUUAGCUGUGGUCCAAAGGCCUCCUUUUGCAGCCGCACUGGGGUCACUACCCAGAACACAGCCGUCCGCCCCGCUGAAAGUGACGGAGAGGAGCAACCUUCGUCAGCAUCGAUUGAACGUGGCGUUUAGGAGGAGCAGACGGUUCCUAAUGGAAACGGCAGUGAGUCGUUGUUUGACCUGGUUCUGUUUGUCCAGCAGGAACCUGCUGAGAUGUGUUGAGGGAUGAGCUGGCAGGACGAGUCUCUCCUACGAACUCAGCAUCAUCCCCAAAAACGUGACUGCUGAUCAAAUGUGCAUCUUGACGUCGUUCGCAUCGCGGAGAAGGAGUGACGCACAUUUGGAGGCUGAAGCCGGGACAUUACAACCACGGCGUGUCUCUUCUGGCCUUCAGCUCUGAUCAGCCGGAGGAUCGGCUGCGUGUGUUCAUGCAAUCAGCCGCUCUGAAGCGCUCUUACCGUGUAAUAACCAGACUUCUUUCCCAUGUCAUGGCCUCAGAGACACACAAAUACCUGUUUUUGAUCCAUGUGUGUGUAAUCAGCCGAUUCCAGUCCACAGCCUGAGCAAAAGACCCAAACACAAGACGGCAGAUUUAAAUGCGUUACAGACGGCGCUGCGGCGAGCUGGUAAUGGCGGGCGUGUCCGGGUGGAAUCUGUCGAGUUGGGAUUCUCGCCCACGAGGAGCGACUCUGGAAAUCCAAUCAAGCGUCUCGGCCGCUUACGGUUCCGUUCCACCGGCCUCCGACUCCCACCUCCUCUAAAGAACCGCACAGGAGCUCAGUGUCUUCCUGUGUCCCCCCCGUCCCCCCGUACCCCCCUGUCGGAGCCCGUCGCCAUUUAAAUGGACCCGGGCGGAUCAGAGCACUGAGGGUUUGGGUUGUUUCUUUUUAAAUCGCAGCGGGCCGGAAAUCACAUUAUCCGCUUUGCACAACGACACAGCGGUGGAGGCGACCGCUGCCAAGACGCCGAGUGGAUCCCGAUUUACUUCCCCCCCCCAUCACCCCCGUCCCCCCCAAACCAGAGGCCCGUCCACCUUUUCAGACGGCGCUGACGGGCUAAUGGGCAUGAAGGGUUAACGCGGGAACCGCUGAGGCUCUUAAGUCGGCCUUUCUUUACGUCGACUGAACCGCAAAGUCACAGUGACCAGCGAAUGAAACGCACGUGGAGGCUGAGCGAGGUGAGGGAACGCAACCCACUUAAGAACCACAACCCUUUUCCUGUGAAAACCGUUUUAUUGAUUUGGGUCCACAAAGACGUUGUCUUCAUUUAAAUCAAACCAUGGUUUUCGUUGUGUCCUCUUCCGUUUCCCCGUUUGAGUUCCUCUCACUAACUUCUCCUCCACACCGAGUCAUAUUCGCCCAGAACAAUGGAAAUAGUCUCGGGGAUUAUUGUCCUUCAGGGAACAUGUUUUAUAAUCUCUGAGAGCUUUUAACAUCUCCAUCAGGAGGAAAACACAUUCUCUGAGAUCAUAAAGUCUUUCUAUCGAAAAAGUGAAAUAUUGUCUUUUUCAGAUAUAAAGUGAUAAAAAAGGUGUUGUUGGUCUCCACUUAUUGUUAUUUACACAAACAAAGAAAAGGACGAAAAUGCGAGCAAAUACCGACAUGAAAUACAAACGCUGAGGUUUUGAGGCCGUUAAAUGCCGUAUUGGCGCCUCUCCCAAAUACUUCCUGCUUUCCUCGGUGUCGCCUUGAUGGCGACCUCCUCGCUCCUCACAAAGGUUCCGGGCGCCGAUUUGUCUCCACGGGGUCCGUCCCCCCCGGCACUCAAACGUCACAAAUACCAUUCUAGGCCAAACGCUCAGCUGAGAGGAGCCGGAGGAUCAGGGUUCCUCCUGCGGCUCCUCCGGCCUGAAGCUGCUCCGUCGCCGACGUCCUGCGGCAGCGGUUCUUUUCACGCUCGCUGCUUUUAGGGGCCCGAUCGCGAUAACGAAGCAAGUCACGCGCGUUAAGUGCUGAUGAGGUUGAGACGAACCUGCUCAGACUCGGGGUUCCGUCCCAGGAAUGUUUGCUCAGUGGGAGUAAAUCAGUCCGUGUAAGACGCGGAAAGAAGAAACCGGCUUUUAGCAUUUAAAAAGAGCGUCACCAAGAAGCCAGCAUGAUUCCGUCGCCCGGCAAAGACACGCAGGCUGUGUUAGUAGUUGACUCUAAACAGCUUCUGAAC
ensembl:lncRNA